UGAGGGGCUUCCAGAAUCUAAAGAAACACUGUGAUCUGGCUUAUCAGAAAGAUACAAAAGCAGGCCCAUUCCUGAGUUCAAGGUCAGCCUAGGAGAAAGCCCAGGUGUGGUAGAAAUGGUAAUUUCAGGCCAGGGUUCCACCCAACUAGUUUAUUGUUUGUGCUUAGUAAAGGCACACAGAUCGCUGAUUCUUUGGCAAUGUUAAGAAACAAUGUAUGCUUCCUGUCUCUUAAGAAUCUCAGGGCUGGGAACACUGGAUGCUGAUUCAUAAGAAAAUCAAAAGGAAACCUGGAGUAAAUGACAGUGUAACAUAAAAGACUGGGCCUGAGUUCUGCAGGAGAUGAGCUAUCCAGAGUAAAAAGAGAACUCCUUGGAGAACUGACAGAUACAGAAACAGACACACAGAGAGGCAGACAUGCCCCCCUGUGCGCGCGCGCGCACACACACACACACACACACACACACACACACACAAGCAGGACAACAUAGACAGAGGGAUCUCUUAGAACAGCAAGCAAGCAGAAUCUAGACAGAGAACUCUCCAGAGAGAAAGCAGAACAUAGAGAGAAGCAGACUGGAAAAUCUGUAUUAAACAGAACACAGGUUGAGAACAGUUGCCUUAGCUAAAGUGAUAGGUGCUUCUUAUGAAUUCUGUAAAACAAACAAACAAUUGCCACCAACAUAAAAUGGCUUAAACCAGGAAAAACAAUAGAACCCUAAACUGUCAGAUGUGAGAACAAGGAUGAGGCAGGGGCUCAUGAGUUAGAGACCUGUCUGUGCUAUCGAAAGAUCUUGUAUCAAACAACAGGAAAGGAAAAGUGAAAAAUAGAACACCCUGUGUCAGAGAAUGGGAAUAUAAAAUCCUUAGGCAGCAGGAGCGUCCCUGCUUCCUCUGCAGGCCCCGGGGGAGAGUCUGUUCUUUGUCCCUUUCAGUUUCUGCUGGCUUCCAGCAUUCCUUAGUUGUCCGACUUUGUGGAUAGAUCAUUCCAACUCUGCCUCUGUCUUUUGCCCUUUUCUGUGUGUAUUGGCCCUUUUCUGACUCUUGUUAUACAUAUAGAACUCCUUCAAAGAAUCACACAAUCCUAUGCCUCUGGGCACCCUUGGCCACACCUGAGAAGGUGAGGUGUGGCCACUGGGAGACCUGUUCAGCCUUCUGCUUCCUGUGAGGUUUCUGGAGAACUUCCUGGCUGCUGGUUUAUCUCCCUCGGCAGUACUUUGCUUCAAAGGUGUGUGUGUGUGUGUGUGUGUGUGUGUGUGUGUAAUCUGAAGAUAUCCUUACAGGAGCACUGAACACUAGGGAAAACAGUUUUAUGGAAAAGGAACAUGUCCAAGUUUUAAAAAUUAAACAACAAAUAGCUGAACUCUGGAAAAUACUUCCCUCAAUUCUGAGGACUAGUCUUAGUUCAUUCACAGUCAAAAUUGGAAGUCACAGUGAACCAGAGUAAGACUUGGACCCAAGCUUGACACCUGCUGGAGGAUGGGUGCCAAUUCCAUGGGAUGCAGAGGGGGAAGAGACUGCUGGGAAUCUGAGGCACUGCUGCCUUCCUUGCAUCACCUCAGGAAUGGAAACAGACUCAGCAGAGUGGGGACAGUGCCCAGGAAGGCAAACCUGAGUCCCUAGCUUAGACGUGUUCCACUGAGUCAGUCUUACACCUAAGGGUAUUCUUCAUAUAACCACCCAAGCCAAAGACCACUUUGCAAUGCACUCUGAUAAUCUUAACUUUGUCACAGCUUUCAUUUGUAUUCUUAAUUUUGAUUGUACAUUUUAUGUGAUCAUUGUAUUUGAAUAUAUUAUAUCUACAUUUUUUUAGGUGGUUAGUUCUUUUGAAGACAAGGAGAAAGUAAAAUUCCAAGUUAUAAAAUUCUUUGAGAUCUUAUGGAUGACACAGUUUGUAUCUUAAAAUAAUGAAGACAGGGAAAAACUGCUCAUAAAAUGAUAUAGGACUGGAGAAAUGGCUCAAAGGAUAAGAGUGCUGCUUGUCUAGAAAGCACAAGAGAUGGAGGUUGGAUUCCCAGCACUCAUAUCACAGUAAAGAGGUAGAUGUGGCAGCUGCCUGUAACCCCAGCACCCAGGAGGCAGAGACAGGGAUCCACGUGGUAGGAAGCUAGACAUCUAAACUAGCAAAAAUGAACAGGUUCUAGGUUCAGUGAGACCGUGUCUC
rnacentral:lncRNA from 1 species